rnacentral:rRNA from 1 species
AGUGAACGCUGGCGGUAGGCCUAACACAUGCAAGUCGAACGGCAGCACAGUAAGAGCUUGCUCUUACGGGUGGCGAGUGGCGGACGGGUGAGGAAUACAUCGGAAUCUACUUUUUCGUGGGGGAUAACGUAGGGAAACUUACGCUAAUACCGCAUACGAUCUACGGGUGAAAGCAGGGGAUCUUCGGACCUUGCGCGAUUGAUUGAGCCGAUGUCGGAUUAGCUAGUUGGCAGGGUAAAGGCCCACCAAGGCAACGAUCCGUAGCUGGUCUGAGAGGAUGAUCAGCCACACUGGAACUGAGACACGGUCCAGACUCCUACGGGAGGCAGCAGUGGGGAAUAUUCGACAAUGGGCGCAAGCCUGAUCCAGCCAUACCGCGUGGGUGAAGAAGGCCUUCGGAUUGUAAAGCCCUUUUGUUGGGAAAGAAAAGCAGCAGGUUAAUACCCCGCUGUUCUGACGGUACCCAAAGAAUAAGCACCGGCUAACUUCGUG